rnacentral:rRNA from 1 species
CGCGCAGGCGGUCUUGUCCGUCAGGUGUGAAAGCUCGGGGCUCAACCCCGGAAGUGCACUGAAACAGCAAGACUUGAAUACGGGAGAGGAGAGAGGAAUUCCUGGUGUAGAGGUGAAAUUCGUAGAUAUCAGGAGGAACACCGAUGGCGAAGGCAUCUCUCUGGACCGAUAUUGACGCUGAGGCGCGAAGGCGUGGGUAGCGAACG